CGGACGGGUGAGUAAUGUCUGGGAAACUGCCCGAUGGAGGGGGGUAACUACUGGAAACGGUAGCUAAUACCGCAUAACGUCGCAAGACCAAAGAGGGGGACCUUCGGGCCUCUUGCCAUCGGAUGUGCCCAGAUGGGAUUAGCUAGUAGGUGGGGUAAAGGCUCACCUAGGCGACGAUCCCUAGCUGGUCUGAGAGGAUGACCAGCCACACUGGGACUGAGACACGGUCCAG
rnacentral:rRNA from 1 species